GGCGAGGUAGCUCAGCUGGUCUAGAGCGCUGGAUUCAUAACCCGGAGGUCGAGGGUUCGAGUCCCUCCCUCGCCA
rnacentral:tRNA from 2 species